rnacentral:rRNA from 1 species
AGGACGAACGCUGGCGGCGUGCUUAACACAUGCAAGUCGAGCGAACCUUCGGGUUAGCGGCGAACGGGUGAGUAACACGUGGGCAACCUGCCCCGAGCUCUGGGAUAACUCCGGGAAACCGGGGCUAAUACCGGAUAUGACACCGAUCGACAUCUGUCGGUGUGGAAAGUUUUUCGGCUCGGGAUGGGCCCGCGGCCUAUCAGCUUGUUGGUGAGGUAACGGCCCACCAAGGCGACGACGGGUAGCC